rnacentral:rRNA from 1 species
UACGUAGGUGGCAAGCGUUGUCCGGAAUUAUUGGGCGUAAAGCGCGCGCAGGCGGUCCUUUAAGUCUGAUGUGAAAGCCCACGGCUCAACCGUGGAGGGUCAUUGGAAACUGGGGGACUUGAGUGCAGAAGAGGAAAGCGGAAUUCCACGUGUAGCGGUGAAAUGCGUAGAUAUUGGGAGGAACACCGAUGGCGAAGGCGGCUACCUGGACAGUGACUGACGCUGAGGCGCGAAAGCUAGGGGAGCGAACGGG